UACGAAGGGGGGCUAGCGUUGCUCGGAAUCACUGGGCGUAAAGCGCACGUAGGCGGACUCUUAAGUCAGGGGUGAAAUCCUGGAGCUCAACUCCAGAACUGCCUUUGAUACUGGGAGUCUUGAGUUCGGGAGAGGUGAGUGGAACUGCGAGUGUAGAGGUGAAAUUCGUAGAUAUUCGCAAGAACACCAGUGGCGAAGGCGGCUCACUGGCCCGAUACUGACGCUGAGGUGCGAAAGCGUGGGGAGCAAACAGG
rnacentral:rRNA from 1 species